UACGGAGGGUGCAAGCGUUAAUCGGAAUUACUGGGCGUAAAGCGUGCGCAGGCGGUUCGCCAAGUCAGGUGUGAAAUCCCCGGGCUUAACCUGGGAAUUGCGCUUGAAACUAGCGGGCUUGAGUGCGGCAGAGGGGGGUGGAAUUCCACGUGUAGCAGUGAAAUGCGUAGAGAUGUGGAGGAACACCGAUGGCGAAGGCAGCCCCCUGGGUCGACACUGACGCUCAUGCACGAAAGCGUGGGGAGCAAACAGG
rnacentral:rRNA from 1 species